GGUAGAAUGGCUGAAACAGCGGUAGAUUGUAGUCCUACACAUGGAAGAUAAAUUCCUUCUAUC
rnacentral:tRNA from 1 species